rnacentral:tRNA from 1 species
CCAGAAUUGGCUCAGAGGUUAAAGCGUCUGCCUGGAAUGCAGGAGACCAGAGUUCAAUCCCUGAGUCGGGG